rnacentral:rRNA from 1 species
GAGUUUGAUCGUGGCUCAGAUUGAACGCUGGCGGCAUGCCUUACACAUGCAAGUCGAACGGCAGCAUGAUCUAGCUUGCUAGAUUGAUGGCGAGUGGCGAACGGGUGAGUAAUACAUCGGAACGUGCCCUGUAGUGGGGGAUAACUAGUCGAAAGAUUAGCUAAUACUGCAUACGACCUGAGGGUGAAAGUGGGGGACCGCAAGGCCUCAUGCUAUAGGAGCGGCCGAUGUCUGAUUAGCUAGUUGGUGGGGUAAAGGCCCACCAAGGCGACGAUCAGUAGCUGGUCUGAGAGGACGAUCAGCCACACUGGGACUGAGACACGGCCCAGACUCCUACGGGAGGCAGCAGUGGGGAAUUUUGGACAAUGGGCGAAAGCCUGAUCCAGCAAUGCCGCGUGUGUGAAGAAGGCCUCGG